ensembl:Y_RNA Y_RNA Y RNA
GGCUGGUCCGAUGGUAGUGGGUUAUCAGAACUUAUUAACAUUAGUGUCACUAAAGUUUGUAUACAACCCCCCACUGCAAAAUUUGACUGGCUUAAA